ACCUAAAGGCUGGGAUGCCGAGAGGAUCAUUACCUAGAGUUGCGGGCUUUGCCUGCCAUCUCUUACCCAUGUCUUUUGAGUACCUUCGUUUCCUCGGCGGGUUCGCCCGCCGAUUGGACAAAACUUAAACCCUUUGUAAUUGAAAUCAGCGUCUGAAAAAAACGUAAUAGUUACAACUUUCAACAACGGAUCUCUUGGUUCUGGCAUCGAUGAAGAACGCAGCGAAAUGCGAUAAGUAGUGUGAAUUGCAGAAUUCAGUGAAUCAUCGAAUCUUUGAACGCACAUUGCGCCCCUUGGUAUUCCAUGGGGCAUGCCUGUUCGAGCGUCAUUUGUACCUUCAAGCUUUGCUUGGUGUUGGGUGUUUGUCUCGCCUCUGCGCGCAGACUCGCCUCAAAACGAUUGGCAGCCGGCGUAUUGAUUUCGGAGCGCAGUACAUCUCGCGCUUUGCACUCACAACGACGACGUCCAAAAAGUACAUUUUUUACACUCUUGACCUCGGAUCAGGUAGGGAUACCCGCUGAACUUAAGCAUAUCAAUAAAGCGGAGG
rnacentral:rRNA from 1 species